GAUGAAGAACGCAGCGAAAUGCGAUAAGUAGUGUGAAUUGCAGAAUUCAGUGAAUCAUCGAAUCUUUGAACGCACAUUGCGCCUCCUGGUAUUCCGGGAGGCAUGCCUGUUCGAGCGUCAUUAUAACCCCUCAAGCUCGGCUUGGUGUUGGGGCCUGCCGCACGGGCAGCCCUUAAAAUCAGUGGCGGUGCCAUCUGGCUCUAAGCGUAGUAAUUCUUCUCGCUAUAGAGUCCCGGUGGAUGCUUGCCAUUAACCCCCAAUUUCAAUGGUUGACCUCGGAUCAGGUAGGGAUACCCGCUGAACUUAAGCAUAUCAAUAAGCGGAGGA
rnacentral:misc_RNA from 1 species